rnacentral:rRNA from 1 species
GUUUGAUCCUGGCUCAGGAUGAACGCUGGCGGCGUGCUUAACACAUGCAAGUCGAACGAUGAUCCGGUGCUUGCACCGGGGAUUAGUGGCGAACGGGUGAGUAACACGUGAGUAACCUGCCCUUGACUCUGGGAUAAGCCUGGGAAACUGGGUCUAAUACCGGAUAUGACUCCUCAUCGCAUGGUGGGGGGUGGAAAGCUUUUGCGGUUUUGGAUGGACUCGCGGCCUAUCAGCUUGUUGGUGAGGUAAUGGCUCACCAAGGCGACGACGGGUAGCCGGCCUGAGAGGGUGACCGGCCACACUGGGACUGAGACACGGCCCAGACUCCUACGGGAGGCAGCAGUGGGGAAUAUUGCACAAUGGGCGAAAGCCUGAUGCAGCGACGCCGCGUGAGGGAUGACGGCCUUCGGGUUGUAAACCUCUUUCAGUAGGGAAGAAGCGAAAGUGACGGUACCUGCAGAAGAAGCGCCGGCUAACUACGUGCCAGCAGCCGCGGUAAUACGUAGGGCGCAAGCGUUAUCCGGAAUUAUUGGGCGUAAAGAGCUCGUAGGCGGUUUGUCGCGUCUGCCGUGAAAGUCCGGGGCUCAACUCCGGAUCUGCGGUGGGUACGGGCAGACUAGAGUGAUGUAGGGGAGACUGGAAUUCCUGGUGUAGCGGUGAAAUGCGCAGAUAUCAGGAGGAACACCGAUGGCGAAGGCAGGUCUCUGGGCAUUAACUGACGCUGAGGAGCGAAAGCAUGGGGAGCGAACAGGAUUAGAUACCCUGGUAGUCCAUG